AAAACUUUCAACAACGGAUCUCUUGGUUCUGGCAUCGAUGAAGAACGCGGCGAAAUGCGAUACGUAAUGUGAAUUGCAGAAUUCAGUGAAUCAUCGAAUCUUUGAACGCACAUUGCGCCCGCCAGCAUUCUGGCGGGCAUGCCUGUUCGAGCGUCAUU
rnacentral:rRNA from 1 species